AAUAAACAAGUCUGUUUAGACUAUACUGAUUUCCAUAUUGCCCCAAUGUUUGUACAUGCAGUCUACGCAUGCGCAACUUUGUAUUUAAAUGGCCAGGACAGUGAUUUUAUAGCCCCGACCGGUUUUGCACUUUGAAGCGGAAAGGAUGAUGUUCGUGAUUGUUCAACUAUAGCGGACUGAGAGUUAAUAAACAAGACUGUUUAGACUAAACCGAUUUCCAUAUUGCGGCAAUAUUUGUAUAUGCAGUUUAUGCAUGAGCAACUUUGUAUAUAAAUACCUAGGACAGUGCUUUUAUAGCUCCGACCGAUUUUGCACUUUGAAGCGGAAAGGAUGAUAUUCGUGAUUGUUCAACUAUAGCGGACUGAGAGUUAAUAAACAAGACAGUAUAGACUACACCGACUUCCAUAUUGCCCCAAUCUUUGUAUAUGCAGUUUACGCAUGCGCAACUUUGUAU